rnacentral:lncRNA from 1 species
GCCACUUGGGCCAUAUGACCCAGCAGAUCCAAUAGUGCUUGAGGGAUGAGUGGCAGAUAGGGAUGCUAUUUGGAGCCUUUGCCAGGCCACCAUAAAUGAAUCACAGUGGAGGCCUCUAGGAUUUUGGAGCAAGACCCUGCCUUCUUCUGCAGAUAACUACUCUCCUUUUGAGAGACAGCUCUUAGCCUGUUACUGGGCUUUGGUGGAAACUGAACGUUUGACUAUGGGUCAUUAAGUCACCAUGUGACCUGAACUGCCUAUCAUGAACUGGAUGCUUUCUGACCCAUCUAGCCAUAAAGUGGGUCGUGCACAGCAGUAUUCCAUCAUCAAGUGGAAGUGUUAUAUGCAUGAUUGGGCUCUAGCAGGUCCUGAAGGCACCUGAGGAAUAAGUUACAUGAGGAAGUGGCUCAAAUGCUCAUGGUCUCCGCUCGUGCCACCCUGCCUUCUUUGCCCUAGCCUGCACCAGUGGCCUCAUGGGGAGUUCCCUAUGAUCAUGAUCAGUUGACAUGAUCAGUUGACAGAGGAAGAGAAGACUAGGGCCCGGUUCACAGAUGGUUUUGCAUGAUACGCAGGCAUCAUCUGAAAGUGGACAGCUGCAGCACUACAGCCCCUUUCUAGGACAUCCCUGCAGGCCAGCAAUAAAGGGAAAUCUUCCCAGUGGGCAGAACUUCCAGCAGUGCACCUGGAUGUGCACUUUGCAUGGAAGGAGAAAUGGCCAGAUGUAUGAUUAUACACUAAUUCAUGGGCGGUAGCCAGUGAUUUGGCUGGAUGGUCAGGGACUUGGAAGAAGCAAGAUUGGAAAAUUGGUGACAAUAAAAUUUGGGGAAGAGGUAUGUAGAUGGACCUCUCUGAAUGCUCAAAAACUGUGAAGUGCUAACCAACGGGUGACCUUAGCAGAGGAGGAUUUUAAUAAUCAAGUGGAUAGGAUGACUCGUUCUGUGGACACCACUCAGCCUCUUUCCCCAACCACCCCUGUCAUCAUCCAGUGGACCCGUGAACAAAGUGGCCAUGGUGGCAGGGAUGGAGGUUAUUCAUGGGCAACAGGGACUUCCACUCACCAAGGCUGACCUGGCUACAGCCACUGCUGAGUGCCCAAUUUGCCAGCAGCAGAGACCAACACUGAGCCCUCAAUAUGGCACAGUUCCUCAUGGUGAUAAGCCAGCUACCUGGUGGCAGGUUGAUUAUAUUGAACCUCUUCCAUCAUGGAAAAGGCAGAGGUUUGUCCUCACUGGAAUAGACACUUACUCUGGAUAUGGGUUUGCCUAUCUUGUACACAAUGCUUCUGCCAAGACUACCAUCCAUGGACUCACAGAAUGCCUUAUCCACUGUCGUGGUAUUCCACACAGCAUUGCCUCUGAACAAGAUACUUACUUUAUGGCUAAAGAAGUGUGGCAGUGGGCUCAUGCUCAUGGAAUUCACUGGUCUUACCAUGUUCCCCAUCAUCUUGAAGCAGCUGGAUUGAUAGAACAGUGGAAUGGCCUUUUGAUGUCACAAUUACAACACCAACUAGGUGACAAUACUUUGCAGGGCUGGGGCAAAGUUCUCCAGAAGGUUGUGUAUGCUCUGAAUCAGUGUUCAAUAUAUGGUACUGUUUCUCCCAUAGCCAGGAUUCAUGGGUCCAGGAAUCAAGGGGUAGAAGUGGAAGUGGCACUACUUACCGUAACGCCCAAUGAUCCACUAGCAAAUAUUUGCUUCCUGUUCCUGUGACAUUACAUUCUGAUGGCCUAGAGGUCUUAGUUCCAGAGGGAGGAAUGCUGCCACCAGGAGACACAACAAUGAUUCCAUUAAAUGGGAAGUUAAGAUUGCCACCUGGACAUUUUGUGCUCCUCCUACCUUUUAAGUCAAUGGGCUAAGAAGGGAGUUAGUGUUGCCUGGUGUGAUUGACCCGGAUUAUCAAGAUGAAAUCAGUCUACUACUCCACAGUAUUCACAGGAGAUCCAUUAGGGCAUCUCAGUGUUACCAUACCCCGUGGUUAAGGUCGAUGGGAAACUACAGCAGCCCAAUCCAAGCAGGACUAUAAAUGGCCCAGACCCUUCAGAAAUGAAAGUUUGGGUCACCCCACCAGGAAAAAAAAACCACGACCUGCUGAGCUGCUUGAUGAAGGCAAAGGGAAUACAGAAUGGGUAGCAGAAGAAGAUAGUCAUCAAUACCAGCUAUGACCACGUGACCAGUUGCAGAAACAAGGACUGUAAUUGUCAUGAGUAUUUCCUUCUUUUGUUAAAAACAUGUUUGUGUAGGUGUACACUUGUACUAAGAAAAUAUCUUCAUUUUAUUUCCUUUUUCCUUUAUCAUGUGACAUAAGAUUUAUUGACUUCAUGUCAGCAUUUAAGUAUUGUUAACUUUAUGUAACAGCAUUUGGAUUGGGGAAGGAUAGUUGUAUUAUGUUAGGCGGAAUUCUGAUCUUAUUGUCUUUAUUUGAAGAUUACGUAUGUUCUCAGGAGAUGUGUAUGGGUUCAAGUUGACAAGGGGUGGACUUGUGAUGGUUAAUACCGAGUGUCAACUUAAUUGGAUUGCAGGAUGCAAAGUAUUGAUCCUCGGUGUGUCUGUGACAGUGUUGCCAAAGGAGAUUAAAAUUUGAGUCAGUGGGCUAGGGAAGGCAGGCCCACCCUUAAUCUGGGUGGGCACCAUCUAAUCAGCUGCCAGUGAAUACAAAGCAGGCAGAAAAAAUGUGAAAAGGUUAGAAUGGCCUAGCCUCCUAGCCUACAUCUUUCUCCCAAGCUGGAUGCAUCCUGCCCUUGAACAUCAGACUCCAGGUUUUUCAGUUUUGGGGCUCAGACUGGCUCUCCUUGUUC